rnacentral:rRNA from 1 species
AGUGAACGCUGGCGGUAGGCCUAACACAUGCAAGUCGAACGGCAGCACAGUAAGAGCUUGCUCUUACGGGUGGCGAGUGGCGGACGUGUGAGGAAUACAUCGGACUCUACUUUUUCGUGGGGGAUAACGUAGGGAAACUUACGCCAAUACCGCAUACGCCCCACGGUUGAAAGCAGGGGAUCUUUGGACCUUGCGCGAUUGAAUUAGCCGAUGUCGGAUUAGCUAGUUGGCGGGGUAAAGGCCCACCAAGGCGACGAUCCGUAGCUGGUCUGAGAGGAUGAUCGGCCACACGGGAGGUGAGACACGGUCCAGACUCCUACGGGAGGGAGCAGUGGGGAAUAUUGGGCAGUGGGCGCAAGCAUGAUCCAGCCAGACCGCGUGGGUGAAGGAGACCUUCGGGUUGUAAAGCCCUUUUGUUGGGAAAGAAAAGCAGCAGGUUAAGACCCCGCUGUUCUGACGGUACCCAAAGAAUAAGCACCGGCUAACUUCGUG